rnacentral:rRNA from 1 species
UUGCAGGCUGCAACUCGCCUGCAUGAAGUUGGAAUUGCUAGUAAUCGCGAAUCAGAAUGUCGCGGUGAAUACGUUCCCGGGCCUUGUACACACCGCCCGUCACACCAUGAGAGUCGAUAACACCCGAAGCCUGUGAGCUAACCGCAAGGGGCAGCAGUCGAAGGUGGGGUUGAUGAUUGGGGUGAAGUCGUAACAAGGUAAC